CCAAAAGAUUGGGCCCAACUAGCACAUGAAAAACCAGUGGGGAUCUGAGCUACUGUUCAUUGUCACUAGUGGGGUCUUUCCUGAGGGGCUACAAGGUGCCCAGUAUUGGCCUAGCUAGACUCUAGAACACAAAAAGACAGGUAUCUCUGCAACGAGUCUGCAAUCUUGCUGGCUCAAAGUUCAUCCUUCAUACUAGCUCCAAGGAUCUUUGAGGCUAGGGUAACAAGCAAGGCCUGCCUCUUAGUUUGGCAAUGACGGCCCUGUGGCUAAGACACUUGGAACAUAAAUCCUUGGCCUUAGGUCCCUGAUCUGCCCAAGGGUUCUACUCUGGAGACCAACCUCCUACCCCUUGCUGAUCUGAAAGUGACAGGUCUAAAGGGAGUUUAAAAGUCUCUGCAGGUCUCCUGGGCGCUGGGGAAGUCUGUUGACAAAGCCACCAGCUGUCCCCAGUUGGAGCCAAGGGAGACAGACUCCUCCCCGAACCACCACCCACACUGGGAGAGUGUUCCUACCAGGACCCAGCCAGCAACGGAACUUGGACCAUCAUGAAGCCUCUGAUCACGGGCUCCAACCGACCUCCUCUCCAGCUGCCACACUAACAAGAGCAAUGGCACAAGACCUCACUCACCCAGCAAGUGCCAGACAGGAGUGUCACUGGGAAGCCCUGGUUGUCCUGGAACUUGCUCUGUGGAUCAGGUUGGCUUCAAACUCAGAGACUGCCUGCUUCUGCUCCGGAGUGCUGGGAUUAAAGGCAGUUGCCACCACAGCCUGACAAUUUUUUUAAGAAAAAGAAACAGAAACUAAGGUCCAGGGAGAGUAGGAAUCUGUCAGAGCACCAUAAAGUGGAAUCUAGACCAGAGGAGGACCCUGGUUGCCAGAUCUUACCUGGUCUGUGUGAAUGGGACACUGGGUGGGGGAGGGGGGUGUCACCUGCCCAACAUAGAUUCCCCAGGAUCAAGUCUAGACUCUAUUCCUGGAUCCUUGGAGAGGUACCAUAUGGGAAGAGAAGCACUGUGGACCCUGAUGGGAACCAGCAAUAUGGCCAGCCCUUUGUUUUACCCUGCCUGCCUGCUUCAAGGUGAGCAUUCUUAUCUCUAUGUGUCCACCUGUUGGGGUUGGAUGUGAGAUGGAGUAAGAGCCGGAGACCAGAGAGGAGAAAGUGAGGGACAUGACAGGGAUGUCCACACAAAGCACUUAAGACAUGCAGUCACACUCAGGGUACCCAAGAUCAACCCUUUCCCUGCAAGGUGCCCUCCAGCUAGUGCUUAGUUUAGAGGACCAGAAUCCAGGGUCAGCCCUCCCUUACAGUCAUUUGCCUUAGUUCCAGUUGUUAAUUGAACAGCAGUGAUGGUUUCCUUCUUACAUUACUAUAAAGGUUAAGUGAGAUAUUAGGAAACUGCUUAGCAUCUUGUCUAGCAUAGUCAGCCUUGUCCCUGAUAUUUUUGCCCAAUAUCACCUGUCUUCAAAUGCCUUCCUGGAGCUGGCAGCCGGUAGACACUAGAGAUUCCAAAGGGCCAGCUGGUUCCCUGGGUGAAAAAAUGAGGUAAUCAAUGAAAAGGCCUGAAGGAUCCCAACCCCUUCCUGGCAUCCCAGGACCAGUUCUUCUGAGGAAAGAAAGGCAGAGAGAGUAAUCAGGAGCAGAAGGUCCCAGUGGGAGGGCUGAAGCCUACCAUCGGAGACAUGUGUUGAGGGAUGCCCUGCAGUCUGGAGACCAGUGACUUCUGUGGGAAGAACAGGUGGGACUCUGUCCUUCCUGGAGAGGAGGCCUACUGGGCCAAUGAGUGACAAGCAUGAAGUAUCAGAGCCACAGUCUGAUGUAAAGAUUUGGAAACCUACCUCUAAAAUUCUGUCAUCUUAAGUUCUGACGGACAUUGCUUCUUGGUCCUUUGGCUGUGGUCACAUGAAAAGUUCUGAAGUGCCAUGUCUUUAUGAGUCUUGGGUUCUAAUAUGGGAUCCUCAGGUUCUAAAAUUGCUCUGUCAUUGGAAACAUAGCAAAACCUAGAAUACACAUCUGUGAUUAAGAGGGCUAACCUAGCAGUUGUGAGGCCCUGGAUUCAAUGCUCACGCAAGGGUGGUGGUGGGAGGGGCAGAGAAGGAAGGGAAGGG
rnacentral:lncRNA from 1 species